rnacentral:lncRNA from 1 species
CCAUCAGCAAUUUAUGACUUUUAGCCAUUCUUAUUUUAGAACUCUGUUCCCCAGACAUCUUUAGUAUUGGCAAAGGAGAUUGCCUCUUAUUUGUGAGAUUUGUGUUCUUGUUCCUCAGUUCUAGAGACUAUGGAGAAAGAAGUUGGGAGUAAUUUACUCUUAUGUUACUGGACUCGCAGAUUGUGCUGUUGUAUGUUUGACAUCAUUCUUAGAGCAGCUGCACUAACCCCAUUAACCUCUUCUUUGUUUUUAUUUUAAGGUGGAUUUCAUAUGUGCAGCAUCUUAAGGUUCAUUGACAUGAUCAACGCAGCAACUAGCUCCACACCAAACACAAACCUACUUGCCUCUGCAGAAUUCUAUAUUUGAGGAAAGCACAGGAACCAUCCAUCCUUGUCGUCCGAGAAUGGAGCAGCUUUGUCGCAACGAUGAAGAUAAGACAUGAUUAACUGAAGCAGAAAACCUCAAAAGGAUUCCUAACCAUAACCACAGAGCCAUGCCUCAACUUUGUCAAAUAAAUUAGUUCAUCAGCAGCCCUUUUCUUUGUCAAUACAUUCCUUUCUUGUCUCCAGGCAAAUCCCUUGUCACAGCAUUCACCUGGAACAUAUAGGUCUUUCUGCUGCAACCUUCCGCAAUGAAUCCUAGUCCCUUUUCUUUUGCACUAGAGUACUUGGACAACUAUGAUGCUGACUGUAUUAGGUAACAGUUAACAAUGACGGACGAGUCUUUGGAGCUUGUUACAGUAUGCGAC